GUGGCGAACGGGUGAGUAACACGUGAGUAACCUGCCCUUGACUCUGGGAUAAGCACUGGAAACGGUGUCUAAUACCGGAUACGAGCUUCAGUCGCAUGACUAGGAGCUGGAAAGAAUUUCGGUCAAGGAUGGACUCGCGGCCUAUCAGCUAGUUGGUGAGGUAAUGGCCCACCAAGGCGACGACGGGUAGCCGGCCUGAGAGGGUGACCGGCCACACUGGGACUGAGACACGGCCCAGACUCCUACGGGAGGCAGCAGUGGGGAAUAUUGCACAAUGGGCGCAAGCCUGAUGCAGCAACGCCGCGUGAGGGACGACGGCCUUCGGGUUGUAAACCUCUUUUAGUAGGGAAGAAGCGAAAGUGACGGUACCUGCAGAAAAAGCACCGGCUAACUACGUGCCAGCAGCCGCGGUAAUACGUAGGGUGCAAGCGUUAUCCGGAAUUAUUGGGCGUAAAGAGCUCGUAGGCGGUUUGUCACGUCUGCUGUGAAAACUGGAGGCUUAACCUCCAGCCUGCAGUGGGUACGGGCAGACUAGAGUGCGGUAGGGGAGAUUGGAAUUCCUGGUGUAGCGGUGGAAUGCGCAGAUAUCAGGAGGAACACCGAUGGCGAAGGCAGAUCUCUGGGCCGUAACUGACGCUGAGGAGCGAAAG
rnacentral:rRNA from 1 species